UACGUAGGGUGCGAGCGUUAAUCGGAAUUACUGGGCGUAAAGGGUGCGCAGGCGGUUUGGCAAGUCGGAUGUGAAAACCCGAAGCUCAACUUCGGGCCUGCAUCCGAAACUGCCCGACUAGAGGUAGGUAGGGGAGAUCGGAAUUCCUGGUGUAGCGGUGAAAUGCGUAGAGAUCCGGCGGAACACCGGUGGUGAAGACGGUCUCCUGGGCCGAGGGCCGACGCUGAGGCGCGAGAGCGUGGGGAGCGAACCGG
rnacentral:rRNA from 1 species